GCCAGGCACAGUGGCUUGCCUGUAUUCCCACUACUUGGGAGGCUGAGGUGGGAGGAUUGAUUGAGCCCAGGAGUUCUGGGUUGUAGUGUGCUAUGCCAGCCGGGUGUCUGCACUGAGUUCAACAUCAAUAUGGUGACCUCCCAGGAGUGGGAGACCACCAGGUUGCCUAAGGAGGGGUGAACCAGUCCAGGUCAGAAGCGGAGCAUGUCAAAACUCCUGUGCUGAUUAGUAGUGGGAUCACAGCUGUGAUAGCCACUGCACUCCAGCCUGGGCAACAUAGCGAGACCCCAUCUCUC
ensembl:misc_RNA Metazoa_SRP Metazoan signal recognition particle RNA